GCGGUAAAUUGACCGUACAAAGGUAGCAUAAUCAUUAGUUUAUUAAUUGUAAGCUGGAAUGAAUGAUUGGACGAGAAAGUUUCUGUGUCUGGUUGUAAUAAAUUAAUUUAACUUUUUAUUGAGAAGGAUAAAAUUUGUUUGAAAGACGAGAAGACCCUGUAUAUCUUAUAAUUAAGUUAAUUUGGGCUUUGAGUUUAUGGGUNNAAUUUAGUUGGGGUAAUUUAAUUUUUAAAAUAUUUUAUUUAGUUGUGACAUUAUUAAAAUUGAAUAUAUGACCUAUUUUAUAGUAAUUUGAUUAAGUUACCUCAGGGAUAACAGCAUAAUUAAGUUUUGGAGUUCUUAUCUGCAAUUUAGUNNGUGACCUCAAUGUUGAAUA
rnacentral:rRNA from 1 species